AAGCGACUGUUUACAAAAACAUAGGUGUCUGCUAAGUCGCAAGACGAUGUAUAGGAGCUGACGCCUGCCCGGUGCUGGAAGGUUAAGGGGAUCUGUUAGAGCAAUCGAAGCAGUGAACUUAAGCCCCAGUAAACGGCGGCCGUAACUAUAACGGUCCUAAGGUAGCGACAUUCCUUGUCGGGUAAGUUCCGACCCGCACGAAAGGCGUAACGAUUUGGGCACUGUCUCAACAACAGACUCGGUGAAAUUGUAAUUCCGGUGAAGAUGCCGGAUACCUGCGACAGGACGGAAAGACCCCAUGGAGCUUUACUGUAGCUUUACAUUGGGUCUUGGUACUACAU
rnacentral:rRNA from 1 species